rnacentral:piRNA from 1 species
CACGUGAUUAUGAUCUUAAAGGUCAGCGAG